rnacentral:rRNA from 1 species
AGUGAACGCUGGCGGUAGGCCUAACACAUGCAAGUCGAACGGCAGCACAGUAAGAGCUUGCCCUUACGGGUGGCGAGUGGCGGACGGGUGAGGAAUACAUCGGCAUCUACUUUUUCGUGGGGGAUAACGUAGGGAAACUUACGCUACUACCGCAUACGACCUACGGGUGAAAGCAGGGGAUCUUCGGACCUUGCGCGAUUGAAUGAGCCGAUGUCGGAUUAGCUAGUUGACGGGGUAAAGGCCCACCAAGGCGACGAUCCGUAGCUGGCCUGAGAGGAUGAUCGGCCACACUGGAACUGAGACACGGUCCAGACUCCUACGGGAGGCAGCAGUGGGGAAUAUUGGACAAUGGGCGCAAGCCUGAUCCAGCCAUACCGCGUGAGUGAAGAAGGCCUUCGGGUUGUAAAGCCCUUUUGUUGGGAAAGAAAAGCAGCAGGUUAAUAUCCCGCUGUUCUGACGGUACCCAAAGAGUAAGCACCGGCUAACUUCGUG